rnacentral:rRNA from 1 species
UGCAGUCGAACGGUGAAGCCAAGCUUGCUUGGUGGAUCAGUGGCGAACGGGUGAGUAACACGUGAGCAACCUGCCCUGGACUCUGGGAUAAGCGCUGGAAACGGCGUCUAAUACUGGAUAUGAGCUUCUACCGCAUGGUGGGGGUUGGAAAGAUUUUUCGGUCUGGGAUGGGCUCGCGGCCUAUCAGCUUGUUGGUGAGGUAAUGGCUCACCAAGGCGUCGACGGGUAGCCGGCCUGAGAGGGUGACCGGCCACACUGGGACUGAGACACGGCCCAGACUCCUACGGGAGGCAGCAGUGGGGAAUAUUGCACAAUGGGCGGAAGCCUGAUGCAGCAACGCCGCGUGAGGGAUGACGGCCUUCGGGUUGUAAACCUCUUUUAGCAGGGAAGAAGCGAAAGUGACGGUACCUGCAGAAAAAGCGCCGGCUAACUACGUGCCAGCAGCCGCGGUAAUACGUAGGGCGCAAGCGUUAUCCGGAAUUAUUGGGCGUAAAGAGCUCGUAGGCGGUUUGUCGCGUCUGCUGUGAAAUCCCGAGGCUCAACCUCGGGCCUGCAGUGGGUACGGGCAGACUAGAGUGCGGUAGGGGAGAUUGGAAUUCCUGGUGUAGCGGUGGAAUGCGCAGAUAUCAGGAGGAACACCGAUGGCGAAGGCAGAUCUCUGGGCCGUAACUGACGCUGAGGAGCGAAAGGGUGGGGAGCAAACAGGCUUAGAUACCCUGGUAGUCCACCCCGUAAACGUUGGGAACUAGUUGUGGGGACCAUUCCACGGUUUCCGUGACGCAGCUAACGCAUUAAGUUCCCCGCCUGGGGAGUACGGCCGCAAGGCUAAAACUCAAAGGAAUUGA